rnacentral:tRNA from 1 species
GUCAAGGUGGCCGAAUUGAUCCAAGGCACAAUUUCAGGCACUUGUACGAAAGGGCAUCGGUUCGAAUCCCAUUCUUGACA